UAUUUGUUUACGUGACAACAGUAAUUGGAUUGUAAUUCAUACUCUUCUCUCUCUGUCCUGCUCACUUCUUGCCUUUUGAAUUCAUGUCUCAGUGCAUGAUGGGAAAGGUAUUAGAUUUACCGCUAAUGAGGACGUUCUUCCAGAUAAGGGCUCUGGUGUGGAUGAUCCUGUGGGGGAAGUGUCUAUACAGAUUGACCUGUAUACCCACCCUGGAACUGGUGAACACAAGGUCACAGUGAAAGUUGUGGCAGCCAAUGACCUGAAGUGGCAGACGUCUGGCAUGUUCCGUCCAUUUGUGGAAAUCACUAUGAUUGGGCCCCAGCAGAGUGACAAGAAGAGGAAGUUCACAACCAAGUCAAAGAGCAACAACUGGGCUCCCAAAUACAAUGAAACCUUUCACUUCAUACUGGGAAAUGAGGACGGUCCUGAUGCUUAUGAGCUCCAAGUCUGUGUGAAAGACUACUGCUUUGCUCGGGAGGACCGGGUACUAGGGAUAGCAGUGAUGCAGCUGAGAGACAUAGCAGACAAAGGAAGCUGUGCUUGCUGGUGCCCCCUGGGGCGCAGGAUUCACAUGGAUGAGACUGGACUUACAAUCCUGAGGAUUCUCUCUCAAAGAACCAAUGAUGAAGUUGCCAGAGAAUUUGUAAAGUUGAAAUCUGAGUCCCGCUCCACGGAGGAAGGCACCUGAGCUGAGCUGUGUAGUAUUCCCUUUUCUCUUCUGCCUUGUGCCAAUAUGUGCAAGUGUUCAACAAUUCUCUUUUAUUAAUCACAAAAGUUUCUUUCUUGUUGUCUUUGUCAGCUCUGAUAGCGCACGUGUGCUGUACAGGAAACAAACCCAUCAGUCUGAUGUGAUUAUUUAUUUUUUAGUAGCUGGGUUAAGACACAAUAGAGAAUGAGGCAGUCUCUUGUUACUUAAGAUGCGAAUUCUGCUUUGUAUAUAUAAAUUAUUUUAUAUUGGAGGCUGGGUAUGCUGGGUUUUGUUGAUAUGCAGCACUGUGAUUUUAUCCUCUGAAGUUGGCAGAUGUUGAAAAGGUUCUACAUAAUCACACUACGAUACAAACACACAAGUGGGUGGAAAUUGGGAGAAGAAGAACGAUUUGGGGCUUUGGCACAUCACAGUUCUCUCUCAUUGAAUUCGUGUACUGUGGAGCUGCCAGUGGAUGUUCUGGCACAGAUUAUACCAAUGUCCCGAUAUGAUACACAGACACCUCAACGUCUGCUUACAAAAUAAGUUGCAAAUUGCUCUGAAGAUGCACACCAGAUGAAUAUGACCAUGGAUGUGCUGCUGUGAGCAUGGGUGAGAUCAGUUGGACAAGUGCAGAGGGGCCUAAGAUCUCAUAGCCAAAAGCUACAAAGACAAUACAGCAGGAGCAGACUGCAGCUGCCCUGCUAUUGUAAUUAGAUGGUGUGUCUCGGAGAAUAUAAAUCCCCAUGUGCUGCUGGGAAAUCUGCAUCACCAUGGGGUUGCUGUAAGCUGCUAACUCCGCAGGUCACACUUUGGCUACCAUGACCGACACGGUAAGGAAGGGAACAACCUUAGAGCCAUGACAAAUAGCAUGGCUGCUAUAUACUUUUUCUGCUUAGAUACUCUUUCAUUAGUUAUUUGACAUAGGAUUGGAUAAUUUAAUACUUGCAGGCUUUCUGUAGCAUUUUGUUAUCCUGUAGUAGCUGAGACCAUUCCUCACUAUGAACCCAGAAAUGAUGGUUUGCUUGGGAGAGAUCAGCACAUCUCCCCUCUGCAAGCACUCAGUCUGGAGUGCUGGUCAAAGAGCAGCAGGUCCAUUUGGUUUAUCUUGAAGUCUCUGUUGGCCGUGCUGCAGUUGAUCUGUGCUGUUUGUCAUUAAUCUGUGUUUUAACUAUACCAUUGAAAAUAUUUUUGCACUGUCUUAAAGAAACAUCCUUGUUUUGUUUUCUUGCAAAACAAAACACUGUCCUGAGCAGAGGGAUAGCAGGGAGGUCAGCAUUUCUGACUGAAAAUUCAGAAGCAGGAAGGUCUGGAGAAGCGAUUACACCUGAGGUAUGUUUGUUAGAGGGUUCCUAUUGUUUUGGGGAUACUUUGGGGAUAUAUUUUUGCUAUUUCCAGCUGCCCUUGUGCUCUGGAAGGGGCAGCUGGAACAAGCCAGUCCUUGCCCAUGAAGUACUGUAACACUGUCAAUAAAUAUAAGGACUGUGUAUUGAAUGACCUUUUUUUUUUCUUUUUUUUCUAUUUUCUCUGACACUUGUACAGCUGUGUAACUCCUAUUUCAUGGGCCUGCUCAUAGAGCUCUGAGAUGGCACAUUUGCUUUGUUGUUGUCCAUGGUGUGUUAUAAUAGUGCUCUUCAAAACUCCAUGCUAUUUGUCAUGAUUUUGAACCAUUGUACGUGCCAUUGUUAUGAGAACUGUUAGUAGUCUUUAAUAAAGUCUUUUAGCAGCA